rnacentral:rRNA from 1 species
AGAGUUUGAUCCUGGCUCAGGAUGAACGCUGGCGGCGUGCCUAAUACAUGCAAGUCGAGCGAACGGACGAGAAGCUUGCUUCUCUGAUGUUAGCGGCGGACGGGUGAGUAACACGUGGAUAACCUACCUAUAAGACUGGGAUAACUUCGGGAAACCGGAGCUAAUACCGGAUAAUAUUUUGAACCGCAUGGUUCAAAAGUGAAAGACGGUCUUGCUGUCACUUAUAGAUGGAUCCGCGCUGCAUUAGCUAGUUGGUAAGGUAACGGCUUACCAAGGCAAUGAUGCAUAGCCGACCUGAGAGGGUGAUCGGCCACACUGGAACUGAGACACGGUCCAGACUCCUACGGGAGGCAGCAGUAGGGAAUCUUCCGCAAUGGGCGAAAGCCUGACGGAGCAACGCCGCGUGAGUGAUGAAGGUCUUCGGAUCGUAAAACUCUGUUAUUAGGGAAGAACAUAUGUGUAAGUAACUGUGCACAUCUUGACGGUACCUAAUCAGAAAGCCACGGCUAACUACGUGCCAGCAGCCGCGGUAAUACGUAGGUGGCAAGCGUUAUCCGGAAUUAUUGGGCGUAAAGCGCGCGUAGGCGGUUUUUUAAGUCUGAUGUGAAAGCCCACGGCUCAACCGUGGAGGGUCAUUGGAAACUGGAAAACUUGAGUGCAGAAGAGGAAAGUGGAAUUCCAUGUGUAGCGGUGAAAUGCGCAGAGAUAUGGAGGAACACCAGUGGCGAAGGCGACUUUCUGGUCUGUAACUGACGCUGAUGUGCGAAAGCGUGGGGAUCAAACAGGAUUAGAUACCCUGGUAGUCCACGCCGUAAACGAUGAGUGCUAAGUGUUAGGGGGUUUCCGCCCCUUAGUGCUGCAGCUAACGCAUUAAGCACUCCGCCUGGGGAGUACGACCGCAAGGUUGAAACUCAAAGGAAUUGACGGGGACCCGCACAAGCGGUGGAGCAUGUGGUUUAAUUCGAAGCAACGCGAAGAACCUUACCAAAUCUUGACAUCCUUUGACAACUCUAGAGAUAGAGCCUUCCCCUUCGGGGGACAAAGUGACAGGUGGUGCAUGGUUGUCGUCAGCUCGUGUCGUGAGAUGUUGGGUUAAGUCCCGCAACGAGCGCAACCCUUAAGCUUAGUUGCCAUCAUUAAGUUGGGCACUCUAAGUUGACUGCCGGUGACAAACCGGAGGAAGGUGGGGAUGACGUCAAAUCAUCAUGCCCCUUAUGAUUUGGGCUACACACGUGCUACAAUGGACAAUACAAAGGGCAGCGAAACCGCGAGGUCAAGCAAAUCCCAUAAAGUUGUUCUCAGUUCGGAUUGUAGUCUGCAACUCGACUACAUGAAGCUGGAAUCGCUAGUAAUCGUAGAUCAGCAUGCUACGGUGAAUACGUUCCCGGGUCUUGUACACACCGCCCGUCACACCACGAGAGUUUGUAACACCCGAAGCCGGUGGAGUAACCUUUUAGGAGCUAGCCGUCGAAGGUGGGACAAAUGAUUGGGGUGAAGUCGUAACAAGGUAGCCGUAUCGGAAGGUGCGGCUGGAUCACCU